rnacentral:rRNA from 1 species
UACGUAGGGACCAAGCGUUGUUCGGAUUUACUGGGCGUAAAGGGCUCGUAGGCGGCCAACUAAGUCAAACGUGAAAUCCCUCGGCUUAACCGAGGAACUGCGUCUGAUACUGGAUGGCUUGAGUUUGGGAGAGGGAUGCGGAAUUCCCGGUGUAGCGGUGAAAUGCGCAGAUAUCGGGAAGAACACCUAUGGCGAAGGCAGCUCUCUGGGACGGUACUGACGCUGAGACGCGAAAGCGUGGGGAGCGAACAGG